rnacentral:rRNA from 1 species
UGAACGCUAGCGGCAGGCCUAACACAUGCAAGUAGAACGGUAACAGAGAGAGCUUGCUCUCUGCUGACGAGUUGCGAACGGGUGCGUAACGCGUAUGCAACCUACCCAUAACAGGGGGAUAGCCCAUAGAAAUGUGGAUUAAUACCCCAUAAUAUCAUAGAUUGGCAUCAUGAAAUGAUUAAAACUCCGGUGGUUAUGGAUGGGCAUGCGUGACAUUAGCUAGUUGGUGAGGUAACUGCUCACCAAGGCGACGAUGUCUAGGGGUUCUGAGAGGAUGAUCCCCCACACUGGUACUGAGACACGGACCAGACUCCUACGGGAGGCAGCAGUGAGGAAUAUUGCGCAAUGGAGGAAACUCUGACGCAGCCAUGCCGCGUGCAGGAAGACUGCCCUAUGGGUUGUAAACUGCUUUUAUAUAGGAAGAACUACAGCUACGUGUAGCUGUUUGACGGUACUAUACGAAUAAGGACCGG